rnacentral:rRNA from 1 species
CCUACGGGUGGCAGCAGUGGGGAAUAUUGGGCAAUGGGCGCAAGCCUGACCCAGCAACGCCGCGUGAAGGAAGAAGGCUCUCGGGUUGUAAACCUCUUUUGUCAGGGAAGAGUAGAAGACGGUACCUGACGAAUAAGCCACGGUUAACUACGUGCCAGCAGCCGCGGUAAUACGUAGGUGGCAAGCGUUGUCCGGAUUUACUGGGUGUAAAGGGCGUGUAGCCGGGUUGACAAGUCAGAUGUGAAAUCCUGCGGCUUAACCGGAGAACUGCAUUUGAGACUGUUGAUCUUGAGUACUGGAGAGGCAGACGGAAUUCCUAGUGUAGCGGUGAAAUGCGUAGAGAUUAGGAGGAACACCAGUGGCGAAGGCGGUCUGCUGGACAGCAACUGACGGUGAGGCGCGAAAGCGUGGGGAGCAAACAGGAUUAGAUACCCCAGUAGUC